AUGAACAAAUGGCUCAACGGGAAUUCGCCAAGUGUGCUGGCACCUGAUGUGUUUAAACUUGCUGGUUUCAAAAGAGUUACGGUUAAAGAGGGGCUACGCAACGGCAAAUGGAUGCAAGGGCUGCAGCGAUUGGACACGGAGAAACAGCUGAACCAGUUUGUGCACCUUUGGCAUGAGGUGCAAAUGAUAAACCUAUCAGUCAAGAGGGACACUGCCAUUUGGAACCUCACAACGUCGGCUGCCUACAGCGCAUGUUCAGCCUAUGAUGCACAAUUUUGCGCAAGAAUUGAAAAGCCUGGACUAGCACGAGUGUGGAAGAGCAAGAUGGAGGGGAAGGUCAAAUUCUACAUCUGGUUGUUGUUACAGAACAGAAAUUGGACGGCCGACUGCCUUCAGGCUAGAGGCUGGCCAAACAAUGACCAAUGCAAGCUCUGCGACCAAGAAGCUGAAACUGCCAGCCACAUAGCACUGAAAUGCUCAUAUGCAAGAGAGGUUUACUUCCAUUUUCGGCAGCAAAACAAUGCGGUGUGGACUACUACUGAUAUGGCACAAUCAGUCUCAGAAUGGUGGGAUCAGUGUUGA
rnacentral:rRNA from 1 species